GAUGAACGCUAGCUACAGGCUUAACACAUGCAAGUCGAGGGGAAACGAUAGGGAAAGCUUGCUUUUUCUAGGCGUCGACCGGCGCACGGGUGAGUAACGCGUAUCCAACCUGCCCAUCACUUGGGGAUAACCUUGCGAAAGUAAGACUAAUACCCAAUGACGUCUCUAGAAGACAUCACAAGGAGAUUAAAGAUUUAUCGGGGAUGUAUGGGGAUGCGUCUGAUUAGAUUGUUGGCGGGGUAACGGACCACCAAGGCGACGAUCAGUAGGGGUUCUGAGAGGAAGGUCCCCCACGUUGGAACUGAGACACGGUCCAAACUCCUACGGGAGGCAGCAGUGAGGAAUAUUGGUCAAUGGACGAGAGUCUGAACCAGCCAAGUAGCGUGCAGGAAGACGGCCCUAUGGGUUGUAAACUGCUUUUAUAAGGGAAUAAAGUGAGUCUCGUGAGACUUUUUGCAUGUACCUUAUGAAUAAGGACCGGCUAAUUCCGUGCCAGCAGCCGCAGUAA
rnacentral:rRNA from 1 species